UCUACCCCCUUGGACACCUACCUCGGUUCCGUGGCGCCUAGGUCCGCUAGGGUAGGGGAGGGGGUAACGCUCUACGCUCGCUACCUCAGUCUGUGGUGAACCACGCGUGCGUGUAAGUCUAGGAUAUGCGCGGCAACUACCCGAUACGUACGUCAGUGUGGUGUGUUGUGGUUUUGUGAUUUACCUGGAUAUUACCAAGAAUUGCAAGAAUUGGAGCUAUACAUUUCUGCAUGUAAUCGGAGUUCUUACAGAAGCUAGGCUUCAAAACAUGAUGCCACACACGGACAGGGCCGCCACGCCUUAGCUCACUAGCACCCUUCAGUUGUAAGGGUGUGGUGAGCGAGCAUGUCCUAGUUAGCUGAGACUAUGCGCAUUGUACCUUCCCAGCCCAUUGUUGCGGUGCUGUUCCUGGCCGCUUGCUUAUUUCCGCGAUUCUCAGAAGUGUACUCGACCAGCCAAUCACAGACUAGGACGCCACGUCACCCUGGCAACAACAAUACAGAACUCAAUCUUGAUUGGUCACAGGAAGGAGAAGAGCUGAUGUCGGUGGAGGCAGGCAGCAGGUGGUUGUCACAUAAAGAGGCCCAGGUGGUGUUGAGGAGG